GGUCAGCCGGAGAUCCGGGCAAGCAGCCCCUCAUCCCACUGCCCGGCGCCGCAGAUGGCCCCUCUGCCAGCGGGUCAGCAGAGCAGCCCCUGGCAGAGCCCGGUGGCGUCUCCCUGGCACCUGAAGGCACCAGUGCAGAGCUGCCUCCAGACGUGUCUCCCACCAUGGCCAGACCAGGAAUAUGCGAGGCGUUCCCCAAGGCAGCUGUGAUCCAGCCCGGGCAUCCCUCUCCCUCCAGCUGGGCCAGCUCUGGAGAUGGCCAGGAUUCAGGUGACGUGGUGGUGCAGACUGCAGGAGCAAUGGUCCCAGUUGUGACCAGCAAGGUGGAGGAGGUGCCUCCCAGUACAGUGGCUGCCUCUGGGCUCGCUGAGGGUAUGGCAGCACGAGACAGCCCCCAGGCAAGGGCAGGGGUUUCCUCUGCAAGCCCUGCCGGCCACCCAACCAGCGUCCCUGUGGCUCCUGCUGCCACUCGGCAUGGGCACCCUCUGUCCCCUGUACCAACCGGGCACGUGUCAGCUCUUGCCGUGGGGAGCAACAGUGCUGGGCUGGGCACAGCCAUGUCGUCCCCAGAUCUAGGCAUCCCUACUGAAGAGGGGAUGGGCAAACUGCCACUCUCAAACAGCGGCACUGCUCUUGAGCAGGCCCCAGAGGCAUUUACAGCAGCUGUGGAGAGCAUCGCUGGAGAGCCAGCCCCGGGGACAGCCAACCACGUGCUAGAGGGAAUCACAGCAGAGCCACGUGCAGGUGCCGCAGGCCCACUGAAAGGGGCCUUCCCCAAACCAGGCGGAGGCACGUCUCCCCCGAUUGCACAAACCCCCAUUGUUCAACCAAUGCUGGGGUCAAAAGCAUCUUCCUUAGUCCCUAGCAAAACCUCCCAUGCCAAUGGGUUAGUCCAGCAGGAUGAUAUCGCUGUGGAGGGGACACUGGGGACAACACGGACCACAGCUCUGUCUCAUAUCAAACUAGGCAUGGGAUUGUCAUCUCCUGCUAUCAGCAAGAGCACUGCGGCAUCCCAUGAAGCUGCUGGGCUCCCAUCCCAGGAGGUCACGUCAGAGCUGGACAAGGGCACCUCCCCUCACACAGCAGCAGGAAGAGCAGAGGGGGUGACACCACCAUUUGAAGACCUCCCAAGUGCUUCCUCAGCGAGGGCCACCUUCUCUCCCAUCAGUAGGACUACAGAGCCAGGGACAACCGCCUUACCUGCAGCUGGCCAUGACGCCUCCCAGGAGCCUCCGACACCCCCUGCUUGGCCACCUCCAGCCAUUUCCCCUGCAGGCCCUGGCAGUGCCACAGCAGAGCUGGUAGCAAGUGCCUUCCCAGUCGCAUCAGCCACGGAGUCAAGUGAAGGAGUGCCAUCGCCCACCAGCAAUGACGCAGGCCCUGGGCAAGGGACGGAGCACUUGUCCCCACAUGGGACAAAUGUCGCUGCUGGAGAUGGGCCGCCUAGAGCCAGCACCGGUACCCCCCUCCGUGCCACCACGCCAUCUCUGGACACAGCAGCCACAGCCACUGUCGGGCGCCAUGCUGAUCCAGCUGCCACCUCCUCUUCCUCCAGCAUGGAGGUAACUGCUGCAAAGGACGUCCCUGCUGGGUUGUUUCCAGACCCAGAAAAUACCACCACUGAGUUGGUCUUUGGCACAAGCAAGUCCACCUCCAGAGCAGUGACUGGCACUGCUUCCCCAAGGACCACGAGCUCCCUGAUGGGCACGGCACCAUUGCCCAGCACUGCUGGAAAGGCCCCAGCUCCCAGCACGGCAUUUCCUGAUGAUCCCAGUACUGCUGCUGGACUGAUGAACAGCGUCUCCACUGUGCCGCGUGGCAGUCCCUCUCCCAGGCCCUUCGCAGGCACGGUGUCCUCCUUCGGAGACCCCGCUGGGGCUCUGCCCACCACAACAGCCUUUGCAGACCCUGACGCUGCCACGGCAGAAGCAGCUGCAGGUGAAUCCUCUCCAGCAAGACUCAGCAUGGCGAUGUCCUUGCCCCUUGCUGGAAACAGUGCCAGAAAAGCACAGACAGAUGUGUCCCCUGGAUCCACUGCAGCACCAUCUUCCCUUGGCAGGUAUGACAAGAUGACCAGCCCAGCUGCAGACCUGUCCUCCUCCUUCACCAUGAGCCCAAUCAGUGAAGCAGGGCCAGCCUUUGGAAAUACCCCUGCCAAGGAAGGUCCCAGCGCAUCGACCGCAGCAGUGGGCAGUUCCCCCGGGCCAGGCACCGUGACGCCCUGGGAUGCCAGCCCCAUGCCUGCUUUGCCUGACGUGUCUCCUGGCCUUGGCAGCAGCCGCCCAGGGCCAGCUGUGGGCUCACCGCCGCCAACAGUCAGCAUCGUGAGUGACCCUGCACCAUCCAAGGUGACUAGGAGUGGACCUGUAAGCAAGUCAGCUGUCCCUGGGUCUUCGCUGCUCCUCAUGCCAUCCUCAGACAUGACCGCUCUGGUUUCAGUCACCGACAGCAGCAACCCAGACCUGGGCUCUUCUGCAGCUGUGGCCAAGAUCUCCAUUGGACUCUCUCCCCCAUCCAGGAGCAUCACUUUUAACCCAGCCACAGCCGCUCUGGGCAUGGACACCGCGACGCCACAAGCACCUCAAAGUGUCUCAGCCCCAAAUGCGGGUGUCACCGGUGAGCCAGCGCCACACAUGUACAUGCAACGUCCAGAUGCCACCAGCCAUCCACUCAUCUCCCGCAGUUCCCCUGUUACCCCCAGUGAGGAGAUGUGGUCGCGCACAGCUGAAGUGGACCUGGCGGGGGUGUCCCGAGAUCUGAGCACAGGCAGACUGGGCGCAGGACCCGCUGCCUCCAUCCCCAGCCCUGGGAAGCUGCAUGAUCCCACAGUGUCCCCUCCAACCCCUAGCAGUGCCACUCCCACUGCCAUUCAGCCAACAACAGCGACAGCUUCUGAACCCACAGAGGGCACAACUACAGCAGGAACAACCGUCAACGUCGUGGGAUUGGUCAGCACCCUGGAGACAGCCAGAGCCAGCGGUGCUGCUGCAGCAUCACGUGCGGGUGCCCCCCCUCUCCUGGAUGACAGUCCCACCACAGGGUCACCCCUGGGGGUGUCCCUAUCCAGCAUCGCCCCAAGGACAGUGGCAGCCACAUCACCGCCACCACACAACAGCCUGGCCACCCCACGGUCAGUGCUGGGUGGCGAUGCCCGCCGAGCCCUGCACAGCGCCUCCCCCAGCCCCGAUGGCAGCACCACCGCUGUACUACCGGCCAAGUACCCGGACGUGGGCCCAGAGGAGGAUCCAGGGAUCGGCGUGACCCACCUCCUGCCUCCCGCUGCCCCAAUGUGGAGGGCAGCUGGCUCCACGUCCCCGGGUCCUGGAAACACUGUGACCAAGCCAGCCGUGGGCCCCUCUGCUCAUGCCAGCACAGCCACCCCAGAAACAGGUUGGGAUUCAACCUCAGCCAAGGGAAGGUCAUUUCUCGUCACUGACGACUACGUCACCCGCCUGGGUAUGAGCCAGGCAGCAUCUCUCCAGGGCCACUUUGGGGCUGAGCUGGCUCCAGAUGUGCCAGCUAUUGCCCAUGGCACCGAUGGCACAGGGCCAGCUUCCAGCUCCACACUCAGCAGGACAGAGCCACUGCCGGAGCUGUCCCCCCAGGGUGACGAUGCUCCCCAAACCAGGCCCCCGGUGGGCUUUCCUCUCCUGGCUCCCAGAGACGGUCAAUCUGCUCCUCCAGCCUUGGCAGGCGCCAGCCCAGUGUCGAAUGCGGCUGGCCCCCUCCCCAGCACCACUGCCGCCCAGAUGCCCCCACCUGCAUCUCCACCAGUUGCCAAAAGUGCAGCCGCAGAGGGAGCCAGGGGCAGGUCACAGCCAGCAGGAGACGGCAGCCCCAUGCAGACAGCUGUGGGCUCAAACCUGGUUGAAAAUGCAACAGCAGAUGCCUGGACGAGCGGGACAGACAGCGAAAACACUCCUCCUGGGCCGGCUCCGCGUGCAUUGCACCCCUCCAGAGCCAGCGUCACUGCUCAGCCACACGCAGCCUCCUCGAACCAGAGCGGCAGCGCUGCUGAGCCGAUGGCGGACACGUCCUCCCCGGGCGCCAGGCAGGGGGCAGUGGGGCCAGCCCCAAGACUGCCCCCCUCCAUCACCGCAGGGGCUGAGCCAGGUACCAGCAACGCGCCCCCAGCAGCACGGUCUGCCCCGGGCAGCAAGAGCGCCGUGGCGGGUCUGUCCACACGGGCGGUGCCCAGCCCCGCGCCGGAGCUGGCCAGAGCACCUUCCCCAGUGCUCGGUCCCACGGCUCAGCUGGGUGGCAGCGCGUCCUCUCCCGUCCCCGGCAGCACCAGGCCAGUGGUGGUGGCAUCCUCUGGCAUCCCUGGUGAUGGCAUCAUGGGGACGGCAGCGGGGGUAAGCGACAGUGGUCUCAGCACGGCUGCAUCCUCCUCUGCGGCCCUGGCCCAUACCCUGCCUCUCAGCAGCGGGGCUGGCGCAGAGCUCGUCACAGUGGCCGCCUCCUCACACAGCCCCCGCAGCCCCCCUCGGCCACCGGCAGAGCCCAGAGAAGGCACCAGUGAGCCCUCCACAGGGUCUUCCAGACCAGGCGCCGACAGAGCCCAGGAUGGGCCCUUGGCCGGGGCAUCCUCGCCGAGCACAGGCAGCACGCGCGCAGGGGAAAGCACAGCCACAUCCGGGUCAGGCGCCGGGGGUGCCACUGUCCCGGCAGAGACUGCUGCAUCCUCCCCGGGCCCCCCUGAGAGCAGUGCUGGCGGUGCAGCAUCCCUCGCCAGCAGCAAGGGCACCAGUGUACCCGUCACUGACACCACCAGCACGGACACGAGGACUGGCACGACAUCCCUCUCAGCUGACAGCGCGGCCCCUGUGCCAGCCACCAAUGUGCCCUCCGCAGCCCACACACAUGCUGCCACACUCCCGCCGACCGGCACGCUGCUCCCACUGCCAAACCCUGGCAACCUUGGCGUGGUGCCACCGGAGGGGAUGCCCUCCCUGCUCACCCCUGGUUUUACUGCUCGGCCGGCGAGGGGCACAGCAGCCCCUGGGGAGCCACUGUCACACACGGUGCCACCGAGCGCUGGCUCUACAGCCACUGGGGCAGCUGCGGACGCAGCUGUGGUGGCCACCGCUAGCAGCACUGCCCAGUCAGCCCUGGGCACCUUGUCCCUGCUUACGGACAGGUUAACGUCCUCAACGAGCACCAUGAGCUGGAGUCGUGCCCCUAUGGAGGCUGCAGCAGGUCCAUCCUCCCUGGGGACCAGCAGUGUCCUGGCUGGGCCACUGCGACAGCUGACAUCCCCUGCAAACAGCGUCUCUGCGGCUGAUCGAGCGGGCGGCACCUCAUCCACCCGACCCACCGCCACUGGGCUGCCACCAGGCAUGGUCCUCUCCAGCAACGCCAUCAUCCCAGCCGGCCCACCCAGAGGGGAGACAUCUGCGGCCACAGCAGCUGGCAGGACAGCUGAGACGUCAACUGCCAGAGCAGGGUUUGCAAAGGCCACCGGCACCAGCCGUGCCCUGUCGCCUGCCGCAGAGCAACCUGUCACGAACAAUGGGGCAGACGGACCUGCGCUAUCCAGCUCUGGUGGUGUUGACACAGGGGAUGAAGGUGCAAGCACAACUCCAGCAGCUGUCAAUGAGCUCACUGCUUCCCCAGCUGCAUUUGGUGCUGCUGAGGAGGAGACAACUAUGAUGGUGCCUGAUGAUAUGGCAGUUGGGAACAGCACAGGCCCGGUGCCUGCUCUGCUCAGGCACACAGCUACAGCUGAGCCCACUGCCACCAUGCUUGCAACAGUCGGCAAAGAUACCACAGCUCCAUCACAGACAGCCCUGGCUUUGCCUGUCUUCACCGCUUCACCGAGCGAAGCAACAGCCAGCAAGUCAGUGUCCGUCACAGACAGUGUCCCAGCUCAAACGGCCCCCAGGACGGUCCCCGAGGGGAACGAGGUGGCAGCCAGUCUGCCUUCCUCGCUCACUGGCAGCACCCCAGCUCUGGGGGGCCAGAUCACAGCUGAGAUGGUGACCACAGCGGUGGGAGCAAGAGACAUAGUUGCAACCAUCUCCCAAGCCACCAGUGCUGCUCUGGCAGCUGGAGCACCGCUGGCCACUGUCAAUGGGACAGCAGUGAGCCCACACCUCGGUCCCAGCACCACUAGCAGUGGAUCAGGAAUGGCUGUCUUAUCUCCCACAAUGCCCACCACCACAAUAAGGCCAACCAGUGGGUCCUUGGAGGUGCCCAAUCACAGCCAUGCCAUUGCGGUACCCGGUAUGCCUUUCCCCAGCAAGCACAAUGCAACAGAGGAGCCAACGAUUGGGCCAUCAUCCGUACUCAGUGAUGGUGCAACCACGGACCUGGCAGCCUCCCUGGCAGUUGGAUAUGCUGCUUCCAAGCCAGCAACAAGCGCCUCCUCCUCCACAGCCACCAGCAGCCCUGUAGCAGGACAGGCACUGAGCACAUCAUCUCACGUCACCCAGGUGUCCCUGGGGCAACCUUUCUCUGGGGAGAAAACAGCUGAACCUGCCAGCAACAGCUCAGCCACCAUCGUUCAUGACAUCCCAGGCAGGUCAACAGGCCGUGUUUCCUUUCCUGCAUUUGCCACCACGACCAGUCCCACCGGCGUGCGGCUGGGAAACAGCACAUCUAUGCCCAGCUCUCCCAGCUCUCCUGGUGCCCCAGCUAGGCUGGCGCUAACACUGGCUUCCCCUAGCCACGGAACCGCGGAUAGCACCACAGCAAGUCCCCUUCACAUCCCCAGUGACGACACAGCCAAUGAGCCAGCCACAGUGACCUCCCCCACGGUCCUAAAUAGCAAUGCAGCAGGGGCAACUAGGGAUGAACCCCAAUCUGGGGCUCUUCUCACACUUGCAAAGGGCCUCACCACCCCACAGGAAGAUUUUGGGCCUUUCUCUGUCUUUGGCACCCAUGGAGCUGUGCCUGUCCCUGCAGCAGGCAGACAAGCUGGAUCACAGCCUGCAUUUGCCACCACGUCCAUCCCUCCUGCCUCUGCUGCCAGCCCAGAGCCAGGCGCCAUGGACAAAAUUGGCCCCUCACCGGCUCUGCUCCAGUCACCAGGAUCUGGAAACGGAGUGGCCAAAACAGGGCUUGUAGAAAGUGUCACCCCAGUGGCUCCCACCACCACGGCCGUUUCACCACACAGCAUGCUGCCUGUCCCACCUGCGAGCCCAGCCCAGCCCAGCCGACCAACACAGGCCAGCCCAGCCAAGGAGGGGGGAGGCCUCGUGGGUGGCACGGCCACCACACCGAGGAAACCACUGGCAGCCACCAGCCCCACUGCCACCACAGCUCCUGCCUUUGGGACGCAGAAAGGACCAGCCAUGGCACCAGGGGCUUCUGCCCACACCACCUCUAGCCACAAAAAUCCCAUGCUUACGCCUCUGCCUGAGCCCCAACCCACCCUAGGGCUUAGCAUUGCAGCUGUGUCACUAUACCCAUACGGCGCAGAGGGAAAUGACAGAGGAUGCGUUGAAAGGAAGGUGGAUUUUAAUUCCCCACUGUUCAAACCGGAGAUCGGAUUCCCUUUUGGGAAAACACUACAUGACUUUCUCUACUUUACAGAUAAUGGACAAAUCAUUUUCCCACCUACGGACAACUAUGUCCCCUCCAACCCUAACCCACCUCCCCAGGGGUUCAGCGGCCAUGAGAGUUUGCCAAUGGUUGCUGCAUUUUGGGACGACGCAGACUUUUCCCAGGGUAUCGGCACCACAUGGUACCAGGAAUACCCCACCCUUGGAUCUACCCGAAGUGCCCUUGUCCAUGACGUGGAAGCGAAGAUCAAGAGAUACAUGAAAAUCUCAUACACAGCAAAAUGGACCCUGAAGGUGACAUGGGAGGAGGCUCCAGCGUACCCGUCCUGGCGGGAUGACACUCAGACAAACACGUACCAAGCGGUCCUCACCACCAACGGGAACCAGGCCUUUGCCUUGCUCCUGUACCAAGACGGUGGCAUGCGGUGGGAUUACACCAAGCUCGCAGCGAGGAACGUGCUCAUUGGCUUUUCCAGUGGCGAUGGAUAUGCCCAAAAUAACGAGCUGACUCAAAAGCCACCAGCUGUUAAAUACCGGCCUGACCAGUACCGAGGCUACGACACUGACCUGCGCGGGCUCUGGAUCUACAAGCUGGACGGUGGUCCCCGGGUGAACUACAGGCUGCGCUGCCUCACGUGGCUGGCGGCGCAGCCGGACCCGGCCAGCUGGAACGGAGAGCUGCUGCCCUGCCCCUGCUCGCGGCCCCAGGCAGAGCUGGACCCCCGCUACCGGCAGAGCAGAGGCCUUGCAGACACCUCCAUGACCAUGCUGCGCACCUCAUUCCCGAGCCGGGCUGGAGCCGGGGUCCGGUGUGUCUACCAGGAUGAGAGCUUGCUCGAAGGCUGGCAGGAGAGGUUCUGGAGCCUUCCCCUCCAUCCCACCACCGAUGGGGAACUGGAGGCCUUUGACUGGUGCUGCCGGCGAGUGGGGAAACCCCUGCUGUGCACCAGGUUUGCCGAGAAGAGACCAAGGGCCAGUUGUGAGGGAUACAUGCCGCCUGCCCCCGCCAGCGCUUUCGGGGACCCCCACAUCAUCACCCUGGAUGGGCUCACCUACACCUUCAACGGGCUCGGUGACUUUGUCCUCCUGCUGGCCAGCGAUGCCCAGACCAGUUUCGUCCUGCAAGGGCGCACGGCCCAGACUGGCACAGCUCAGGCUACCAACUUUGUGGCGUUUGCUGCCCAGUACAUCUCUGCCACAACCACAACAGUCGAGUGGACCCUGGGAAGCCAAGGCGACAUCCAAGUCCUGCUGAACUAUGAGACCAUCCUGUUUUCCUACUCCAGAGACAUGGAUGCCAAUGUGUAUUACAACCCCGGCAUCCUGGUGGUCAAUGCCUCCUCCAUCACAGCCAUCUUCGACGGGGCUGUUGCUGUCUCCAUCUCGACCACCUCCGGGAUCCUCAGCAUGGUCUGCAGCCUGCCCGAUCGGUACCUCAAUGGCACCAAGGGCCUGCUGGGUGUGUGGGACCACAACUCCGCAGAUGACUUCCAAAUGCCGAAUGGCACCAGCAUCCCCAGGAACAGCAGCGAGGAGGAAAUCUUCAGCUAUGGGAUGACCUGGGCUGUUGGAGAUCACAGCCUGUUUGCCAAGCCGCUGGCAGCUCCGGUGACGAACUUCACACCUGUCUUCUUUUCUCGGCUGCGGCAGGAGAACAAAAGCCAGUACCAGCUGGUAGCCUCGCAGUGCCACGGGAGCAGGGAGUGCAUCUACGACGCGCUGAGCACCGGGGAUGUGGCCCUGGGCUUGGCCACCCAGAGCCUUGCAGCCGAUUUCCAGCAGAAGAAGGCAGCACUAAAUGCUUUCCCUCCCAUCAUUGCCGGUGAUGCUUCGCUCAUGGCCUACAGGAUGGAAAGGGUGACAAGGCAGUACCGAGCAGAGGGGGCAGGCACAUGGUUUGUCCCCCAUGUCUCGCCAGAGCUCAACAUAACGGAGAACGGCACCCUCACGUGGGAGCCCACCGGCACGGCCCCAUUCACAGCCAGUCUGGAGGCCGUCGGGGCCAACAACCUCUCCUCCAUCCUCCGGCUCAGCUUCACCCUUUGCAACUGCAGCAGGAGCCGCCAGUGCGAUUACGACGACACCGCCACCGUCGGUGGCUCUUCCCUACAGCUCGCAGCCUGCAAGUGUGAUGACGGCUACUCAGGUACCUUCUGCCAGCACCCGCCGGACCCUUGCGCCCAGGGCUGCUUCCCCGGUGUGAGCUGCCACCCGCGCGCUGGCUGCGGCCCCUGCCCUGCCGGCCUGACUGGCGACGGGAUGCACUGCGCAGAUAUCGACGAGUGCGCGGGGGGGACGGCGUGCCUGGGGAACACCACCUGCACCAACACCAUGGGCAGCUACAUGUGCGCCUGUGCUGCCGGCGAGGCUGGUGCGGGGCUGGGCUGCGCGGCGGCGUGCGGGUCCCACGCCUGCCCUGAGGGCUACUGCAGCAACGGGGGACGCUGCCGCCUGGACCCCGCCACCUGCACACCCGCCUGCCUGUGCCCCCCUGCCUUCACCGACCCGCGCUGCCUGGUGGCAGGCAGCGAUUUCCAGCCCCCGGCCAGCCCAGAUCUGCCCCAGAGGAGUGUGCGGCUGCGAAUCCGGGCACUGCAAAAUGCCACCACUGGGGAAGUCAACGGCACCGUCGCGGCCGUCCUGGCGUCCCUGGAGGUGAAGGCUUUCCGGAGCAACACCAACAUCACCCGCACGGACGACCGUGGCGGCUUCACAUUCGCGGUGGUGUCCAAAUUCGCCUACAACAGCACCAGCACCGUGAUCCGGUUCCUGAACGAGGAGCUCAGGGGGGCCAUCACCGACGCCUUCAACGGGCUGCCCAGGCGUGGGAGGCAGGCAGCAGGAGCACACAUCGCCUUUGAGCGCCUGCACAGGGAUAACGUCACCGACCUGGUGAAGUUGACAGUGUCGGAGCUGAGGAGCUAUUUCACCUGCGGCCUCUCUGGCUACGAAGGCUACCAGCUGGACUACACAGCGAGCGUUGGUUUCCUCUGCGUGUCCCCUUGCAACACGGGCUACUGCCAGCACGGCGGCCGGUGCCGGCACCUGCCAGACGGGCCCACAUGCAGCUGCAUCCCCUUCUCCAUCUUCUCCCCCACUGGCGAGCGGUGCGACCAGCUCGCCGUCAGCCUCGGCGCCUUCGUCGGCAUCUUGCUGGGGGCGCUGGCUCUGCUGUCCCUCCUGCUCGCCUCCGCCUGCCUGGCGCCACGGCUCUGCCGCCGGCACAAGGACGCCGAGAGGGCCAAGGAGUCCUUCUGGAGACCGCGGCCAUUCUCCUGGCUUCACCUGCUCGGCUCAGUCAAAGCUGGUUUUUGGCUGAUGGAUCUCUCCCCUUCCUACCUGCUGAGGUGCCCCCAGCUCAGCCUGUCCUCGCAGGACAACCCCCAGCUCUGCUCAUGUUCCCACUCCAGCUCUCACCAAGGCAGAAGAUGGAGCAGAGCCCAUCCCCUCUGAUGCCUCCGAAUGGUGCUGGGCACCGCAGCUCCAAGCCAUCGACCCAUCAGUUCAGAUAAGGAUUGAGAGGCCACAUGUCAGGCCUCCAAGCCAACCAGCUCAACAACCAUAGCAUGCCGCAAUCUCCAAGGCAGCCGACCACUGCUGUUCCUGCUUCAACACCUCCGGCUGCUUGUGGAGAGUGAGCUGCCUGCUGGGUUGGAUGCUGUUCCCACCACGGACGCCUCUGCCAUGCUGUUCUGCUCUUGAGAUUUUUGAGCAAUGUUAUGUGUGUGGAGCAGGGAACAAGCAUCUGCCUUUUGGGUUCUGGUUGCAGGAAUGUGACUUUUGGGGACAGCUUAUCUAGGGGUGAUGUCUGUGGAAGGAGGUGCCUUUGCUACAGGUCACGUUGGAGGAGAUGCAACUUUUGAACAGAAAAUGUAUUUUUAGCGUGGGUCAUCAAAGUGAGGGGACUCCCCCUUUCACUAAGGACAGUCAAGGUAGUCUUUGGAUGUGUGAGUAAGGAGGUAGUCCCCUGUGGAAUGUAACUGGACCCAGCACAGCCCCCUGAGAGCAGAGUCAGGUUGGACAAUGCAGUGAUUAUAACCCACAAUGAACAAAAUAGAAUUAAAAAAAAAAAGAUUAUGGCAUGUUGCUGAGUAAGUUGUAUGCAUCGUGCAGUGCCUGUGCACUGACCCCCACUUUCCUUUUCCAAGCUCUGGAGCGCCUAGUGGCAGAUUGCCCCUAUGGUGCCAAAGAAAAGAUGCUCGUAGCUUCUGUUGCUCUGUCCCAAUUCCCACCCUCAAAGCAACAGGUCUCACCUCAUUGCUUUCUCAAAUCACCACACAUUGUAGCUCAAAUCACAGCCCCAGCAGCCCAGGACCAGGUCCCUGCAACCACCCUGCUGCUCUUCGCCCAUGUUGAUCAAAGGUGCAUCCUUGGUGCAGGAGCUGCAUCAGGCACAGGGCGAGAGCCAGCCCUGGCCCCCAGCCCUCCUUCCCUUGAGGCUGGCAGGGGCCAGAUCGCAGUUGCGAACAUCCCACCCAGCAGCUCGGCUCUCCAGGCUCACCACACCACUGCUCUGUGCCUGCCCACAUCCCCUUCCCAGCCUUCGGUGCAGCAGAAAACGCAGCUGCCACGGGAUCAGAGAUGCUUAUGCCCAUCAGACACUUUAUUGAAUGAACAGUAUUUGAUAACUCUUUUUUUUUUUUUUUUUUUAAGAAA